rnacentral:rRNA from 1 species
CGGUAUUUUGACCGUGCGAAGGUAGCGCAAUCACUUGUCUUUUAAAUGGAGACCCGUAUGAAUGGCAUAACGAGGGCUUAACUGUCUCCUCUUUCAGGUCAAUGAAAUUGAUCUUCCCGUGCAGAAGCGGGAGUAAAAACAUAAGACGAGAAGACCCUAUGGAGCUUUAGACACCAAGGCGGCCCACGUUAAACACCCCCGGAUAAGGGGCUAAACCACAGUGAACCCCGCCCUAAUGUCUUUGGUUGGGGCGACCGCGGGGAAUUACAAAACCCCCACGUGGAAUGGGAAUACCCCUCCUACAGCUAAGAGCUACAGCUCUAGUAAACAGAAAUUCUGACCAACAAGAUCCGGCAGCGCCGAUCAACGGACCGAGUUACCCUAGGGAUAACAGCGCAAUCCUCUUUUAGAGCCCAUAUCGACAAGGGGGUUUACGACCUCGAUGUUGGAUCAGGACAUCCUAAU